rnacentral:rRNA from 1 species
AUUGAACGCUGGCGGCAUGCCUUACACAUGCAAGUCGAACGGCAGCACGGGUGCUUGCACCUGGUGGCGAGUGGCGAACGGGUGAGUAAUACAUCGGAACAUGUCCUGUAGUGGGGGAUAGCCCGGCGAAAGCCGGAUUAAUACCGCAUACGAUCUACGGAUGACAGCGGGGGACCUUCGGGCCUCGCGCUAUAGGGUUGGCCGAUGGCUGAUUAGCUAGUUGGUGGGGUAAAGGCCUACCAAGGCGACGAUCAGUAGCUGGUCUGAGAGGACGACCAGCCACACUGGGACUGAGACACGGCCCAGACUCCUACGGGAGGCAGCAGUGGGGAAUUUUGGACAAUGGGCGAAAGCCUGAUCCAGCAAUGCCGCGUGUGUGAAGAAGGCCUUCGGGUUGUAAUGCACUUUUGUCCGGAAAGAAAUCCUUGGCCCUAAUACGGUCGGGGGAUGACGGUACCGGAAGAAUAAGCACCGGCUAACUACGUG